GUGCUUAGGCUCAUUUUAAAGCUAUUUUUUCACCGCUUCACAACAGCUAUCAUCAUGAAUUUUACAAAAUUGCUCAUCACAUUGUAAAAACUAGAAGCUGUAACAAAAAAGUUGCAAAAAUUGCAGUACUCUUUGUGAUAAAAUGUUUUCAAAUUUUUCAUGAGGUGCCCAAACUGCAUGCGCAGAAUGUGUGAUGACCAUCGGGCACCUGUAUGCAUUGAAUGCAAGGGUUUUGCCGGAAUGAAGUGUAUGGUGAUAAUCCAAAUUCCUACGCCUACGACGGAAACCGUGUUAAAAAAUGGAACGUGACUACAGAAAAAUACGGCGAACCUUGGCUGUCAGGCGAUGUAAUUGGAUGCGCUCUCGACAUGGACGAGGGAACGAUAGAUUUUUAUAUAAACGGAAGGCCUGUAGGUCGAGCUUUCAAAAAUGUGUAUGUGGGUUCCGAAACUGCCUAUUCUCCAACUGUCAUCAAUUUAACCGCAUCAAUUUCGGAUCUACUCCUUUACAUUAUCUAGUCCAAGGUGAACAGAUUCUUCAAGCAACUCCACAGGAACAUCUCGACAAAGCUGCUCUUUUAUACAAGUGUUUUCCGAGUAUCAUAGAACAGAUUCGCCACGUUAAGAAAUCUGGAAGAAAAACCUUACAGGGGACAAAGCUAUAAGCAUUCGAGCUUUUUUCGUCGUCUAGUCAGAUCAAUUGUUGAAAAUAUUAGACCACUUCUCAGGUUAGAGGCCGUUCAUUCCUAUGUUACAAAAAUUUCUUCAGAAAAAUUUCAAAAGAUUUCAAAUAAUAAAAAAAUAUAUUUUUAAAAGAUUUCAUAACAAUUUCUAUAUAUUUCUAAUGAUAUAAC